GCCCGCUUAGCUCAGGGGACCAGAGCAUCUGUCUUCGGAACAGAGGGUCGGGGGUUCGAAUCCCUCAGCGGGCACCU
rnacentral:tRNA from 2 species